GACGAACGCUGGCGGCGCGCCUAACACAUGCAAGUCGAACGAGCGAGAGAGAGCUUGCUUUCUCGAGCGAGUGGCGAACGGGUGAGUAACGCGUGAGGAACCUGCCUCAAAGAGGGGGACAACAGUUGGAAACGACUGCUAAUACCGCAUAAGCCCACGGCUCGGCAUCGAGCAGGGGGAAAAGGAGCAAUCCGCUUUGAGAUGGCCUCGCGUCCGAUUAGCUAGUUGGUGGGGUAACGGCCCACCAAGGCGACGAUCGGUAGCCGGACUGAGAGGUUGAACGGCCACAUUGGGACUGAGACACGGCCCAGACUCCUACGGGAGGCAGCAGUGGGGAAUAUUGCACAAUGGGGGAAACCCUGAUGCAGCGACGCCGCGUGGAGGAAGAAGGUCUUCGGAUUGUAAACUCCUGUUGUUGGGGAAGAUAAUGACGGUACCCAACAAGGAAGUGGCGGCUAACUACGUG
rnacentral:rRNA from 1 species